GCGGGCGUAGCUCAGUGGUAGAGCAUCAGCCUUCCAAGCUGAGGGUCGCGGGUUCGAAUCCCGUCGCCCGCU
rnacentral:tRNA from 1 species